CCAAAGAGAGGUUUCUCUGCGUGCUUGAGGUAUAAUGCCAAGUACGGUCGUUUUAGGUUUUACCCAACUGCGGCUAAUCUUUUUUAUACUGAGCGUAUUGGAACGUUAUCGAUAAGAAGAGAGCGUCUAGGCGAACAAUGUUCUUAAAGUUUGACCUCAAAUCAGGUAGGAGUACCCGCUGAACUUAAGCAUAUCAAUAAGCGGAGGAAAAGAAACCAACCGGGAUUGCCUUAGUAACGGCGAGUGAAGCGGCAAAAGCUCAAAUUUGAAAUCUGGUACCUUCGGUGCCCGAGUUGUAAUUUGGAGAGGGCAACUUUGGGGCCGUUCCUUGUCUAUGUUCCUUGGAACAGGACGUCAUAGAGGGUGAGAAUCCCGUGUGGCGAGGAGUGCGGUUCUUUGUAAAGUGCCUUCGAAGAGUCGAGUUGUUUGGGAAUGCAGCUCUAAGUGGGUGGUAAAUUCCAUCUAAAGCUAAAUAUUGGCGAGAGACCGAUAGCGAACAAGUACAGUGAUGGAAAGAUGAAAAGAACUUUGAAAAGAGAGUGAAAAAGUACGUGAAAUUGUUGAAAGGGAAGGGCAUUUGAUCAGACAUGGUGUUUUGUGCCCUCUGCUCCUUGUGGGUAGGGGAAUCUCGCAUUUCACUGGGCCAGCAUCAGUUUUGGUGGCAGGAUAAAUCCAUAGGAAUGUAGCUUGCCUCGGUAAGUAUUAUAGCCUGUGGGAAUACUGCCAGCUGGGACUGAGGACUGCGACGUAAGUCAAGGAUGCUGGCAUAAUGGUUAUAUGCCGCCCGUC
rnacentral:rRNA from 1 species